rnacentral:rRNA from 1 species
AGAGUGAACGCUGGCGGCAGGCCUAACACAUGCAAGUCGAACGGCAGCACAGGGGAGCUUGCUCCCUGGGUGGCGAGUGGCGGACGGGUGAGGACAACGUCGGAAUCUGCCUUUUUGUGGGGGAUAACGUAGGGAAACUUACGCUAAUACCGCAUACGACCCCGGGCCGGGAGGUUCGGGGUGAAAGCGGAGGACCUUUGGGCUUCGCGCAGAAAGAUGAGCCGACGUCGGAUUAGCUAGUUGGUGGGGUAAAGGCCCACCAAGGCGACGAUCCGUAGCUGGUCUGAGAGGAUGAUCAGCCACACUGGAACUGAGACACGGUCCAGACUCCGUACGGGAGCAGCAGUGGGAAUAUUGGACAAU